UGGGGAAUAUUGGACAAUGGGCGCAAGCCUGAUCCAGCAAUGCCGCGUGGAUGAAGAAGGUCUUCGGAUUGUAAAGUCCUUUCGGCGGGGACGAUGAUGACGGUACCCGCAGAAGAAGCCCCGGCUAACUUCGUGCCAGCAGCCGCGGUAAUACGAAGGGGGCUAGCGUUACUCGGAAUGACUGGGCGUAAAGGGCGCGUAGGCGGUUUGGACAGUUAGGCGUGAAAUUCCUGGGCUCAACCUGGGGGCUGCGCUUAAUACAUCCAGACUUGAGUGUGGAAGAGGGACGUGGAAUUCCCAGUGUAGAGGUGAAAUUCGUAGAUAUUGGGAAGAACACCGGUGGCGAAGGCGGCGACCUGGUCCAUUACUGACGCUGAGGCGCGAAAGCGUGGGGAGCAAACA
rnacentral:rRNA from 1 species